rnacentral:rRNA from 1 species
UUCUUUAAGAAAAAUAAUUUAAAGUAAAACCUGCUCAAUGAAAUUUAAAUAGCCGCAGAACUCUGUGCUAAGGUAGCAUAAUCACUAGCUUUCUAAUUAAAAGAUAGAAUGAAUGGUUAGACGAGAUAUUCACUGUUUCUAUACUUAUGUAUGAAAUUAAAUUAAAAGUUAAAAUUCUUUUAAUUAUAAGAAAGACGAUAAGACCCUAUAAACUAAAUUAUAUUUAGCUGGGGUGGCAAAUUAAAAAAACCUUAAUAAAAUUUUCUAACAAUCCAAAUACAAUCUUUUUAGAAAAGUUACUUUAGGGAUAACAGCGCUACUUUUUUCUAAAGCUCUAAUAAAAAAAAAUCCUACGACCUCGAUGUUGAAUUAUAAAUCCUUUUGGUGCAAAAUCAAAAAGAAAGUCUGUUCGACUUAUUAUUAUAU